GAGGAUGCUCAAAAAAGGCAUAAAAACAAAACACAGCAAGAAACAAAGCGUGGCCUUCCUUUCUUGUCAGUGAAACACACACACCGAAGAGUAAGACCAGACUCUCUCUGUACUUGAGUCAAUUUCUACUUCCACUACUACCAGCCCACACAGAAAGAGAGGAACGAAACCAAAUGGAAACCACAAACGACGUCGUCGGAGCCGAAACCGAUGCUGGACGAUCGAGGAGCUGGAGCAUGUGGCAUCCAGAUCAACUGAGGCAGCUGGUACUAGCAGAGUAGCAGAAGUAUCCAAGAGUGGAUCUGCCUUUGAGGGCCAUGAACAACAUCGAAAAGUGGACAUGUCUGAUCAUAAUGGGCUUUCUGAAAUCGAACAGCUAGUGAAGGACAGAAAAUUUUCUAGUUUUCUCUAUCAUUAUGCAGGGAUGAAAUUAAUCAUUUGAUGGAGAUACUUCAUUCAAGGGUUGUUGAUUUUCCAAAUGUUGAGCAAGAAAAGGAACACUUAAGCGUGAUUGCUAGAGAUGUUGGAAGGCCCGCUACUGCCAUUGAAUAUUCAAGAAAGUCAACUGAAGAAAAGCAUGAAAAUUUGAAAACCGCUAUUUGGGGAAAAUCGAUCCCUCUUGUCAAGUCAACUUCUCACAGCUGCCAGAUGAUGUUGGAGCCUCACCAAUUGAUAUUGCAAGGGCUUAUAUGGUAAACCGAAUAUCAGAAGUAGGCUUUGGCUCUAAGAGUUUAAAUACAAAAGAUGAAGGGGCAUUAAUUCAUGACAAUCUGACUGCAUUAAAGCCAUUUUCGCCAUCUCCUUCACCCAAGCCAUCCACAUGCUGGCCAAGUUGCCACGAUACAGUAUCAGCGUGGGUUUAUGACUCCACAAAGUUAAAGAGAGAUCUGGGCCUCGCGUUUUCCCCAGAACUCCUUAUUCUAGAACUAGUUAUUCAAAGUCUAAGUCCCAGGUAUGUGGAGCAAAGUUUUCUUAUGCCAAUGGUGUUUUUUUUGGACAUGUUUAAUCACAUGUAAAUGACUGCUACACAUCAUCAGUUGCUUCAUUUACAAGGUGAUAAUGAUAGGCAUGUGAACAUGACAUCAUCUCCCUUUCAGCAGUCUCAAACUCCCGUUAUGGACAGGUAAUUUUCCAUAUUCGUAGUCAUCAUCAUGUAUUUCUGUCUUGUGGAUGUGAUUUAUUUCAACAGGAUGCCAUCAUGUUAAUCUGUUAUCUUGGACAAGAAAAAAUAAAAUUUAUGGACAGGUAAAUUUUCCACGUGCAGGUUUGUGUAUUUGUGUAGAAACACUCUGUGAUUUGUUUCAAUUGGAUGUCAUCAUGUUCGUUUGUUUUCUUGGACAAGAAAAAAUAAUUUUUUUGGCAUAUUGGUAACUUGCAAGGAGGCGGGGGAAUAUGUUUUUAAGCUAAAAAAAAUAAUGCACUUAACAAUUUUGUUUUGCCCUGGUUGAGACUUGACACUCCAGUGGAAUUUUAGAUGCAUUGGCUGCAUGAAAAUGAACUAAUAUCUGGGCCUAAGGUGAAUUUUUUUUCCCUGUCAUAGAAAUUUUCUUUGAGUGACUCUGUGUUGCUGCUGUCCUUGUAAAGCUAGCAUCUUUAUCAAUAAACUUUCUGGUAUUGUUCUCAACUUCAA